GUGCAGUGAAGGGCAGAUAACGGUCACUGCGAAGGUGCAGUGAAGGGCAGAUAACGGUCACUGCGAAGGUGCAGUGAAGGGCAGAUAACCGUCACUGCGAAGGUGCAGUGAAGGGCAGAUAACCGUCACUGCGAAGGUGCAGUGAAGGGCAGAUAACCGUCACUGCGAAGGUGCAGUGAAGGGCAGAUAACCGUCACUGCGAAGGUGCAGUGAAGGGCAGAUAACCGUCACUGCGAAGGUGCAGUGAAGGGCAGAUAACCGUCACUGCGAAGGUGCAGUGAAGGGCAGAUAACCGUCACUGCGAAGGUGCAGUGAAGGGCAGAUAACCGUCACUGCGAAGGUGCACUGAAGGGUAGAUAACUGUAACUGAAGUAGUAUUGACAAAGGCACUAACAUAAAGAGAACAACUCUAGAUUUUAGACAUGGCCCUUGCAUUGUAAAGUUGCUACAUAGCCACUUCAUCUACUUACCACCAUGUUUUACUCUUCCACUGAAAAUCAAAAAGAAAAACCUUUGCAGACUCAUUGUACUCAAUAGUUUGGAGCUCUGCCUGCUGCUGUGACAGUAGUUUCCCUCGGUACUCCACAACAAAGUCACCUUUGAAUAUGAGUUCAGUGGCAAAAACACCUGGGGCCUGUUCUUC